GUGACACUCUCUGCAGGUUUCAGAAUACCUGGGUCUGAAUAGAAUGCCUUCUCAGGCUAGAAAACUCGAUCAUGGCGGGGGCAGACGAGCUCCCAGUCCCACGUCACCAAUACCCGGGAUUCCUAAAGUCAGAGGACCUCUCUCACUCUGCUUUCAACUAAAAGCUCACGCAUGAAACAGCAAAGGCUCACAGAGAGGAAGAUCGGGACCGGUGCCACGAGGCGGCGUGUACUGUGAAUCCCUUGUGAAAGUCCAUCAUUUCGCAGGGGGAAAAUAUGACAUCUAACCCUUUUUUCCUGAGAAAACAAUCACCCUCCUCCAUCCUUUGCCAACAACAAUCACUUUCCCGUUUAUUGUAGGAGCGGCAGCGUCCGCAGUUCGAGAGAACGGCUGCCCUGGCUGGGGAAAGAUUCACCCUGAGCCAACAUCUGUUGCCAACUUCCUCUCUCUUUU